GCAUAAUAAAUAGUUUAUUAAUUAUAGACUGGAAUGAAAGGUAGAAACUAAAAAGAAAGUUUUAUUUUAUAAAUUUGAACUUAAAUUAAAAGUAAAAAUGCUUUUAUUAAUCCUUGGGACGAGAAGACCCUAGAAGCUUAAAAAUUUAAAAUUUUUUAAUUGGGGUAAUUUUUAAAGAAAUCUAUUUUUAAAUAAUCAAACUUAAAAUAAUAAUAAAGUUACUCUAGGGAUAACAGCAUUAUUUAAUUAGCAAGUUCUUAUUAAUAAUUAAGAUUAUGACCUCGAUGUUGAAUUAAUU
rnacentral:rRNA from 1 species